UACGUAGGGUGCAAGCGUUGUCCGGAAUUAUUGGGCGUAAAGAGCUCGUAGGCGGUUUGUCGCGUCUGCUGUGAAAACUCGGGGCUUAACUCCGGGCCUGCAGUGGGUACGGGCAGACUAGAGUGCGGUAGGGGAGACUGGAAUUCCUGGUGUAGCGGUGAAAUGCGCAGAUAUCAGGAGGAACACCGGUGGCGAAGGCGGGAUCCUGGGCCAGUACUGACGCUGAGGAGCGAAAGCGUGGGGAGCAAACAGG
rnacentral:rRNA from 1 species